UGCGAGUCAUUGUAGCAAUACAAGGCAUGCGGCUCAGUAACGCGUAGUCAACCUAACCUAUGGACGGGAAUAACCUCGGGAAACUGAGAAUAAUGCCCGAUAGAACAUUAUGCCUGGAAUGGUUUAUGUUCCAAAUGAUUUAUCGCCGUAGGAUGGGACUGCGGCCUAUCAGUUUGUUGGUGAGGUAAUGGCCCACCAAGACUAUUACAGGUACGGGCUCUGAGAGGAGUAGCCCGGAGAUGGGUACUGAGACACGGACCCAGGCCCUAUGGGGCGCAGCAGGCGAGAAAACUUUGCAAUGUGCGAAAGCACGACAAGGUUAAUCCGAGUGGUUUCUGCUAAAGGAACCUUUUGUCAGUCCUAGAAACACUGAUGAAUAAGGGGUGGGCAAGUUCUGGUGUCAGCCGCCGCGGUAAAACCAGCACCUCAAGUGGUCAGGAUGAUUAUUGGGCCUAAAGCAUCCGUAGCCGGCUCUGUAAGUUUUCGGUUAAAUCUGUACGCUCAACGUACAGGCUGCCGGGAAUACUGCAAAGCUAGGGAGUGGGAGAGGUAGACGGUACUCGGUAGGAAGGGGUAAAAUCCUUUGAUCUAUUGAUGACCACCUGUGGCGAAGGCGGUCUACCAGAACACGUCCGACGGUGAGGGAUGAAAGCUGGGGGAGCAAACCGGAUUAGAUACCCGGGUAGUCCCAGCUGUAAACCAUGCAAACUCAGUGAUGCAUUGGCUUGUGGCCAAUGCAGUGCUGCAGGGAAGCCGUUAAGUUUGCCGCCUGGGAAGUACGUACGCAAGUAUGAAACUUAAAGGAAUUGGCGGGGG
rnacentral:rRNA from 1 species